rnacentral:rRNA from 1 species
AACGAACGCUGGCGGCAUGCCUAACACAUGCAAGUCGAACGAACCCUUCGGGGUUAGUGGCGCACGGGUGCGUAACGCGUGGGAAUCUGCCCUUGGCUUCGGAAUAACAGUUAGAAAUGACUGCUAAUACCGGAUGAUGUCUUCGGACCAAAGAUUUAUCGGCCAGGGAUGAGCCCGCGUAGGAUGAGGUAGUUGGUGGGGUAAAGGCCUACCAAGCCGACGAUCCUUAGCUGGUCUGAGAGGAUGAUCAGCCACACUGGGACUGAGACACGGCCCAGACUCAUACGGGAGGCAGCGGUGGGGAAUAUUGGACAAUGUGCGCAAGCCUGAUCCAGCAAUGCCGCGUGAGUGAUGAAGGCCUUAGGGUCGUAAAGCGCUUUUACCCGGGAUGAUAAUGACAGUACCGGGAGAAUAAGCUCCGGCUAACUCCGUGCCAGCAGCCGCCGCAG